rnacentral:tRNA from 1 species
CGGGGAGUGGCUCAGUGGUAGAGCGCUCGCUUGGGGUGCGAGAGGUCCAGGGUUCAAUUCCCUGCUCCCCGA